rfam:Trichobilharzia regenti genome assembly, scaffold: TRE_scaffold0050594
GUACUACUGAAGGGUCCCAAACUAGGACGAAACAGCUGUCCAGUAU